rnacentral:rRNA from 1 species
CGGACGGGUGAGUAACGCGUGGGUAACCUGCCUCACACUGGGGGAUAACAGUUAGAAAUAGCUGCUAAUACCGCAUAAGCGCACAGUUCCGCAUGGAACAGUGUGAAAAACUCCGGUGGUGCGAGAUGGACCCGCGUCUGAUUAGCCAGUUGGCGGGGUAACGGCCCACCAAAGCGACGAUCAGUAGCCGGCCUGAGAGGGUGAACGGCCACAUUGGGACUGAGACACGGCCCAGACUCCUACGGGAGGCAGCAUG